AGAGCGCUUUAUAUCUGUAUUCCCGAGAU
rnacentral:sRNA from 1 species